CUAAAUCAUCUCCAACCCUAGACGCCUCCGAUGCAUCUCCGCCAGAAGGCUUCCGAUUCAUCUCCGCCAAACGCCUUCCGCUUCAUCUUCGCCAGACGCCUCCGAUUCAUCCAGGGGAGUACGCAUCUCCGAUUCAUCUCGCGUUAAAUCGAUGAACUCUUCAGGUUUCAAGUCUAUUCCGGAUCUAAACAAUCGAUUCCGUCAGAGAAACCGUUCCUCUAUGAUCUAUUGACUAUGAGCCUAAGGAGCACUGAUGUCGAUGGCGAGGAAGUAAGGCUAGCAGAUUACUUUGAUGUCGUUUCUGGAACGAGCACAUGUGGUCUAGUUACGAUCAUGCUAACGGCUCCAAAUGAGAACAACUUACCUAUGUAUGCUGCCAAAGACAUCGUUCAGUUUUAUCUUGAACCACAUGAAAGCGCCUUCUGUAAAUUAGACAUCCUGUGUGAUAAAUAUUAACUUAUUUUGUGUACAAGUUAGUAUUAUUGAUCUUCAAUUUAUUACCUGAUUCAAAAUUAGAUAGCUACUAGCAUGGAAAAUCUUACUUUAUGUGGCAGAAGUGUGUGAAUGUCUUUUUAGAAACAUCUUAAAAUUUGGGACUUUAUUCAUUACAUUUUAUGCUUUCCUGCGUUAAAUGUCAACUGCGUUUGUCAUUUAUGUUCUUCGUAUAAUCUACAAGUUUUAACUUUUAAGUGUUAUUACUAUCCAUUUGACUAUGAUUUUUUUGGAUUACAACCCAAAUUGGUGGUUAUUUCAAAUUCAAUAUCAUUUGCAAACCUGAAAGCUUCUGAUUAUCCACGCCUUACACACGGGAAGGCUUAGGAUGAGGUAUUUUUUCUGUUAUAUCUUACUUUUUAGAGUAAAUUACAAGUUUUGUCCUUUAUGUUUACAUCAAAUUACAGGCGUUGUCCUUUUGGCCAAAAGUUUACAGGCGGUGUCCUUAACCUUCCAAAAUCUUGUACGUUUUGUCCUUUAUACCAAACCUGGUUAGAAAUCUCAGUUAAUUCUUGCCAUGUGCAAUGCACAGAGAUUGGACCAGAAUGGUGUGAGAUAAACGCUCAAGUACCAAUAAAAAAAGAUGAAAACUUGGUAAGACCAUAUGGUUUAUUUUCUACAAUUCAAGAUUGUAUUGGUGCAUCCAUCGCAUGGCCCUAUCCAUUCAUCUCGGUAGUCCAUGAGGAUUGAGGACGCAUGAUGACUCAAGAUUUUAUGCUUCUUAUUUCU